rnacentral:rRNA from 1 species
GACGAACGCUGGCGGCGUGCUUAACACAUGCAAGUCGAACGGAAAGGCCCUGCUUUUGUGGGGUGCUCGAGUGGCUAACGGGCGAGUAACACGUGAGUAACCUGCCCUUGACUUUGGGAUAACUUCAGGCAACUGGGGCUAAUACUGGAUAGUAGCUCCUGCUGCAUGGUGGGGGUUGGAUAGGUUUGGGCGUUGGGGAUUGUCUCGCGGCUUAUCAGCUUGUUGGUGGGGUAGUGGCUUACCAAGGCUUUGACGGGUAUCCGUCCUGAGAGGGUGACCAGGCACAAUAGGACUGAGGGACGGAGCAGAGUGCAACGUGGGACAACAGUGGGAAAUAUUGCACAGUGGGGGGACGCGUAAGGCAGAAGCGCCGCGGGCGGGAAGACGGCCUUUGGGUUGUAAACAGCUUGCGCCGGUGAAGAAGCGUGAGUGACGGUAAUGAAUAAAGAAGCACCGGCUAACUACGUG